rnacentral:rRNA from 1 species
AAAAAAUCCGCCUGUCAUAUACCGAGGCUGCCGAUCGAGCGAGCUUGCUCGCGAAGUGAUUGAACGAGGUUCCAGGAAAAGCCACUAAGCUUCAGCUACACACGACCGUACCGCAAACCGACACUGGUGCGCGAGAUGAGUAUUCUAAGGCGCUUGAGAGAACUCGGGAGAAGGAACUCGGCAAAUUGACACCGUAACUUCGGAAGAAGGUGUGCCCUAUUAGUGUGAAGUGAACAACGGAGCAUGAAUGGGUUGCAAAAAAUCGGUGGCUGCGACUGUUUAUUAAAAACACAGCACUCUGCAAACACGAAAGUGGACGUAUAGGGUGUGACGCCUGCCCGGUGCUGGAAGAUUAAAUGAUGGGGUGCAAGCUCUUGAUUGAAGUCCCAGUAAACGGCGGCCGUAACAAUAACGGUCCUAAGGUAGCGAAAUUCCUUGUCGGGUAAGUUCCGACCUGCACGAAUGGCGUAACGAUGGCCACACUGUCUCCUCCCGAGACUCAGCGAAGUUGAAAUGUUUGUGAUGAUGCAAUCUCCCCGCGGAAAGACGGAAAGACCCCAUGAACCUUUACUGUAGCUUUGUAUUGGACUUUGAACAGAUCUGUGUAGGAUAGGUGGGAGGCUUUGAAGCAGGGUCGCUAGAUCUUGUGGAGCCAACGUUGAAAUACCACCCUGGUGUGUUUGAGGUUCUAACCUAGGUCCAUUAUCUGGAUCGGGGACAGUGCAUGGUAGGCAGUUUGACUGGGGCGGUCUCCUCCCAAAGCGUAACGGAGGAGUUCGAAGGUACGCUAGUUACGGUCGGACAUCGUGACGAUAGUGCAAUGGCAUAAGCGUGCUUAACUGCGAGACUGACAAGUCGAGCAGAUGCGAAAGCAGGACAUAGUGAUCCGGUGGUUCUGUAUGGAAGGGCCAUCGCUCAACGGAUAAAAGGUACUCUGGGGAUAACAGGCUGAUACCGCCCAAGAGUUCAUAUCGACGGCGGUGUUUGGCACCUCGAUGUCGGCUCAUCUCAUCCUGGGGCUGUAGCCGGUCCCAAGGGUAUGGCUGUUCGCCAUUUUAAGAGGUACGUGAGCUGGGUUUAAAACGUCGUGAGACAGUUUGGUCCCUAUCUUCCGUGGGCGCUGCAGAUUUGAGGAAGCCUGCUCCUAGUACGAGAGGACCGGAGUGGACGCACCUCUGGUGUAUCGGUUGUCACGCCAGUGGCAUUGCCGAGUAGCUAUGUGCGGAAGAGAUAACCGCUGAAAGCAUCUAAGCGGGAAACUCGUUCCAAGAUGAGAUCUGCCGGGGCCUUGAGCCCCCUAAAGAGUCGUUCAAGACCAGGACGUUGAUAGGUCGGGUGUGGAAGCGCAGUAAUGCGUUAAGCUAACCGAUACUAAUUGCUCGUGCGGCUUGACCCC